rnacentral:rRNA from 1 species
CAAUUGGAGGGCAAGUCUGGUGCCAGCAGCCGCGGUAAUUCCAGCUCCAAUAGCGUAUAUUAAACUUGUUGCAGUUAAAAAGCUCGUAGUUGAAUUUCAGCGUUUCGCGUGUGCCUCUUUUGGCCCAUCUCGUCUCGCUUUUUUUAUUACUUUGAGAAAAUUAGAGUGUUUCAAGCAGGCUUUUGUCUUGAAUACUUGAGCAUGGAAUAAUAGAGUAGGACCUUGGUUCUAUUUUGUUGGUUUUGUUACCUUGGUAAUGGUUAAUAGGAACGGUUGGGGGCAUUCGUAUUUAACUGUCAGAGGUGAAAUUCUUAGAUUUGUUAAAGACGAACUACUGCGAAAGCAUUUGCCAAGGACGUUUCCAUUAAUCAAGAACGAAAGUUAGGGGAUCGAAGACGAUCAGAUACCGUCGUAGUCCUA